rnacentral:rRNA from 1 species
UGGGGGAUAUUGCACAAUGGGGGAAACCCUGAUGCAGCGACGCCGCGUGAGUGAAGAAGUAUUUCGGUACGUAAAGCUCUAUCAGCAGGGAAGAAAAAAAGUCCAUAGGACUUUGGACGGUACCUGACUAAGAAGCCCCGGCUAACUACGUGCCAGCAGCCGCGGUAAUACGUAGGGGGCAAGCGUUAUCCGGAUUUACUGGGUGUAAAGGGAGCGUAGACGGCUGUGCAAGUCUGAAGUGAAAUGCCGGGGCCCAACCCCGGAACUGCUUUGGAAACUGUACAGCUAGAGUGCAGGAGGGGUGAGCGGAAUUCCUAGUGUAGCGGUGAAAUGCGUAGAUAUUAGGAGGAACACCGGUGGCGAAGGCGGCUCACUGGACUGUAACUGACGUUGAGGCUCGAAAGCGUGGGGAGCAAACAGG